rnacentral:rRNA from 1 species
UACGGGGGGGCAAGCGUUGUUCGGAAUUACUGGGCGUAAAGGGCUCGUAGGUGGCCAACUAAGUCAGACGUGAAAUCCCUCAGCUUAACUGGGAACUGCGUCUGAUACUGGAUGGCUUGAGUUUGGGAGAGGGAUGCGGAAUUCAGGUGUAGCGGUGAAAUGCGUAGAUAUCUGGAGGAACACCGGUGGCGAAGGCGGCAUCCUGGACCAACACUGACACUGAUGAGCGAAAGCCAGGGAGCAAACGGG